CUUCUUUUUUAUUGAUAUAAUUUACCUGUGUAUUGAACUGAACAUUUCCGUGCAUUCAUUCAUUUUAAACAUAAGAAACUGGUGUACACGAGGGCGGAUCUUGUCCUCUAUAUCAAUGAAUUUAAUCAUAAUUUAUCAAAUUUAUUACUAUUUGUUAAGUUUAAUUUUCAUUCUAAAUUGCUGGUUUGUAUACCUUGUAAUUUUAAUUGUAUUAUAUUUAUAUAUUAAUGACACUGAAUAUUUAUUCAUGAAUACAAAAAGGAAAGCCGGAC
rnacentral:lncRNA from 1 species